UCUGGUGUCUAGCGUAGAGGAACCACACAAUCCAUCCGAACUGGUGUUAAACUCUACUGCGGUGAAGAUACUGUAGGGAGGUCUGCGGAAAAUAGCUCGACGCCAGGA
rnacentral:rRNA from 1 species